GACGGAGGACGACCUUCGUUAGAUCGGAUGAUAGAGCGGGACGACCCGA
rnacentral:ncRNA from 1 species